CAUAUAAAUAAAAGUUAGCAGACACCAAUGUCAAACUUGUUUUGUCAUUUUCACAGUUUUCAUUUCCAUGUACAUCUAAUAUGGUUCGACAAAAGAACUUCAUCAGCCAAGGGAAUGCCACAGUCUUCGGGGAAGAAAACAUGGCUACAUCUGGAGAGAGCUUAAACAUCUAAUAUGACUGCAAAGCCCAGAUGGUCCUAUGAUGACUCAACAAUGGAUGACAAGGAAAACACAAGAACACCUUUUUAAGACGAGGUCCACUUUUGAGAACUUUGACUGGAAAUCACAGCGCUUCAUUUGUCGUGAAAAGUGCAGCCGUCAUUGAGACAAUACAUCAAGAGGUUUUAGCAGAAGUUGGUCACUAGGGCCAAACAAAAAAAAAUGUGUUUCGGGAAACGGCUGAAAAAAAAAUUAGGUAGGGUAAGUAUUUUUUUUCUGGUUUUGCGAUGGCUCACAUGCUUUUGCAAUGGGAAUAUCCGGAAAAAAAACAUCGUACCGAAGUAUGCGUGUCCUAGAAAUUGGACCAUAUUCCGUUUCUUGUUGAAUUCUCAAAUGCGCAUAAUUAAAUUUGUAAUCUGAAA